UACGUAGGAGACGAGCGUUGUCCGGAGUUACUGGGCGUAAAGGGUGCGCAGGUGGCGGCGCGCGUGGGGGGUGAAAUCGCCCGGCUUAACUGGGCGGGGGCCUUCCAGACGGCGUGGCUUGAGCAGCGGAGGGGGACGUGGAAUUCCGGGUGGAGCGGUGAAAUGCGUAGAGAUCCGGAGGAACACCGACGGCGCAGGCAGCGUCCUGGCCGAUUGCUUACACUGAGGCACGAAAGCUGGGGGAGCAAACAGG
rnacentral:rRNA from 1 species